rnacentral:rRNA from 1 species
AGCGAACGUUAGCGGCGUGCCUAACACAUGCAAGUCGAACGGAGUUCCCUCGGGGACUUAGUGGCGAACGGGUGAGUAACGCGUGAGAAACCUGCCUUUCAGUGGGGGACAACAGUGGGAAACUACUGCUAAUACCGCAUAAUGUUAUUUGGGGGCAUCCCUGAAUAACCAAAGAUUUAUUGCUGAAAGAUGGUCUCGCGUCUGAUUAGCUAGUUGGUGAGGUAACGGCUCACCAAGGCGACGAUCAGUAGCCGGUCUGAGAGGAUGAACGGCCACAUUGGGACUGAGAUACGGCCCAGACUCCUACGGGAGGCAGCAGUGGGGAAUAUGGGGCAAUGGGCGAAAGCCUGACCCAGCAACGCCGUGUGAAGGAAGAAGGCCUUCGGGUUGUAAACUUCUUUUACCAGGGACGAACAAAUGACGGUACCUGGAGAAAAAGCAACGGCUAACUACGUGCCAGCCGCCGCAGUAAAAC